rnacentral:rRNA from 1 species
GGCGGGGUAACGGCCCACCGUGCCCGCGAUGGGUAGCCGGGUUGAGAGACCGAUCGGCCACAUUGGGACUGAGAUACGGCCCAGACUCCUACGGGAGGCAGCAGUGGGGAAUUUUGCGCAAUGGGGGAAACCCUGACGCAGCAACGCCGCGUGCGGGACGACGGCCUUCGGGUUGUAAACCGCUUUCAGCAGGGAAUAAUUUUGAGGGUACCUGCAGAAGAGGCUCCGGCUAACUACGUGCCAGCAGCCGCGGUAAUACGUAGUGAGCGAGCGUUAUCCGGAAUCAUUGGGCGUAAAGCGCGCGUAGGCGGCCCGUCAAGCGGGGUUUCAAAUCCAGGGGCUCAACCUCUGGCCGGACCCCGAACUGGCGGGCUCGAGUGCGGUAGAGGAAGGUGGAAUUCCCAGUGUAGCGGUGAAAUGCGCAGAUAUUGGGAAGAACACCGAUGGCGAAGGCAGCCUUCUGGGCCGCCACUGACGCUGAGGCGCGAAAGCUAGGGGAGCGAACAGGAUUAGAUACCCUGGUAGUCCUAGCCGUAAACGAUGGGCACUAGGUGUGGGGGGACAUUCCCUCCGUGCCGCAGCAAACGCAUUAAGUGCCCCGCCUGGGGAGUACGGCCGCAAGGCUAAAACUCAAAGGAAUUGACGGGGGCCCGCACAAGCAGCGGAGCAUGUGGCUUAAUUCGAAGCAACGCGAAGAACCUUACCAGGGCUUGAAAUCAUGGUGAAGCGGCGGAAACGCCGUGGCCGAGAGGAGCCAUGACAGGUGGUGCAUGGCUGUCGUCAGCUCGAGUCGUGAGAUGUUGGGUUAAGUCCCGCAACGAGCGCAACCCCUGUCGCGUGUUGCCAGCAUUCAGUUGGGGACUCGCGCGAGACUGCCGGCGUCAAGCCGGAGGAAGGUGGGGACGACGUCAAGUCAUCAUGCCCCUUAUGCCCUGGGCUGCACACGUGCUACAAUGGCCGGUACAACGGGCUGCGACGCCGCGAGGCGGAGCGAAUCCCUCAAAGCCGGCCCCAGUUCGGAUCGCAGGCUGCAAUUCGCCUGCGUGAAGCCGGAGUUGCUAGUAAUCGCGGAUCAGCACGCCGCGGUGAAUACGUUCCCGGGCCUUGUACACACCGCCCGUCACACCACUCGAGUCGUCGGCACCCGAAGUCGCCGGCCCAACCCGCAAGGGGAGGAGGCGCCGAAGGUGUGGAGGGUAAGAGGGGUGAAGUCGUAACAAGGUAGCCGUACUAGUAC